GGGGCGUCCGCCAUGACCGAGGCAGACCGCCACUGCGGAGGUAGUCAGCCAAUGCUGAGGCAGCCCGCUGUUGCCAAGGCAGCCCGCCAUUGCUGAGGCAGCCCCGCCGUGGCCAAGGCAACCAGCCACAGCAAAGAGACUCCGCCUCAAUAGAGGCAGGCCACCAUCUCCAAAGCAGUUCUAACUACACCCAUAUAAACAGGACUGCAGGAAAGUUCACUCAGCAGCGGGGAGGGGCCCACAGCAGCUCAGCAAAGCUGCUAUAGGCUGACAGUGACUAGGCUGCCUCCUUGCUGGGCUUGGCAGGUCUGAAGG